rnacentral:rRNA from 1 species
AUUGAACGCUGGCGGAAUGCUUUACACAUGCAAGUCGAACGGCAGCACGGACUUCGGUCUGGUGGCGAGUGGCGAACGGGUGAGUAAUGUAUCGGAACGUGCCCAGUCGUGGGGGAUAACGUAGUGAAAAUUACGCUAAUACCGCAUACGAUCUAUGAAUGAAAGCGGGGGAUCGCAAGACUUCGCGCGAUUGGAGCGGCCGAUAUCAGAUUAGGUAGUUGGUGGGGUAAAGGCCCACCAAGCCAACGAUCUGUAGCUGGUCUGAGAGGACGACCAGCCACACUGGAACUGAGACACGGUCCAGACUCCUACGGGAGGCAGCAGUGGGGAAUUUUGGACAAUGGGCGAAAGCCUGAUCCAGCCAUUCCGCGUGCAGGAUGAAGGCCCUCGGGUUGUAAACUGCUUUUGUACAGAACGAAAAGGUUUCUACUAAUACUAGGAGCUCAUGACGGUACUGUAGGAAUAAGCACCGGCUAACUACGUGCCAGCCGCCGCCGUAA